UUUCCCUACGGGGGGCAGCAGUGGGGAAUAUUGCACAAUGGGGGAAACCCUGAUGCAGCAACGCCGCGUGAGUGAAGAAGUAUUUCGAUAUGUAAAGCUCUAUCAGCAGGGAAGAAGAUGACGGUACCUGAGUAAGAAGCCCCGGCUAACUACGUGCCAGCAGCCGCGGUAAUACGUAGGGGGCAAGCGUUAUCCGGAUUUACUGGGUGUAAAGGGAGCGUAGACGGCAGGGCAAGUCUGAAGUGAAAGCCCGGGGCCCAACCCCGGGACUGCUUUGGAAACUGUCCGGCUGGAGUGCAGGAGGG
rnacentral:rRNA from 1 species